rnacentral:misc_RNA from 1 species
GAUGAAGAACGUAGUGAAAUGCGAUACUUGGUGUGAAUUGCAGAAUCCCGUGAACCAUCGAGUCUUUGAACGCAAGUUGCGCCCGAAGCCAUCCGGCCGAGGGCACGUCUGCCUGGGCGUCACACACCGUUGCCCCCCCAAACCCCGUCGGGGAAGAAGGGGGGCGGAUGCUGGCCUCCCGUGAGCCUCGCCUCGCGGCUGGCCCAAAUGCGAGAUCUCUGCUGCGAGCGUCGCGGCGAUGGUGGUUGUCGAAUAACUCGGUGCCCCGUCGCGAACGCCCCCAGCGUGCUGUCUCGGAACGACCCCUGCGCGCGGCCUCGCGCCGCGCUUCUAACGCGACCCCAGGUCAGGCGGGGCUACCCGCUGAAUUUAAGCAUAUCAAUAAGCGGAGGA